GCCUGGGUGGCUCAGUCGGUUGAGCGUCCGACUUCAGCUCAGGUCACGAUCUCGCGGUCCGUGAGUUCAAGCCCCACGUCAGGCU
rnacentral:tRNA from 1 species